CUCUGUUAUCUUAACAGGACAUCUGUUAAAACAUCAUCCCAGGAAGCACCCUCAUUGUGAGCCCUCAUCAUUUCAUGCUUUGGUGACAGCAAGAGCCUGCUGAUGGGUCUGCCAGCCUCAAUUCUCCCCUCCCACUCCAAGUUAUCCUCCAUUCAGCUGCCAAAAUCAUGUGAUAUGGCAAACAUAGAAAGAGUCAAGGGGUGUGUGUGGUGCAUGCAAAUACAGGCAAACACAUGGAAUCCCAUUAAGCCUUUCUCCCAAGGCAUACUUCAGAAUCCUUUCAUCUCCUGGAAUCAUUUAUAACGUACUGAGUACUUUAUUAUACUUCUGCAAUAUGUCUCACAUCCAAGUUAUGACUAUUUGCACAGCUGCCACCUUAGUUCAGGCUCUCAUCAUCUGGCCUCCCAACUGACUUCUCUGCUUCAAAUUCAUCCUCUCUACAAUCCAUCAACCAUACUUGCCAAAGACCAUGCCACUCCCCUACUCAAUAAACUCCAGUGCCUCCCUGUGGUCUCUACCAUAAAAUAUAAAUUCCUCUGACAUUUAAAUCCUUUCUUGACCUCACCCCAACCCAGUUUUAUAGCUUCCCCUUCUGUAUUCUAUGGAGCAGCUAAACUGGCUUUCUUGCCAUCACUAUUCUCCACUUCCUAUCUCAAUACUAUUGCACUGACCAUAACCAUCACGAUCACCAUCAUUGACCAACACUGUUGUCUUUAUAAUCCCUUAUUUCUUCAAGACUCAACCUAAGUACCCUUUCUAACUUAAUCCUUUCUGAUUCUUCAGCUGUUAGGA